CACUGAAAUGUUUUCUUUAUCACAGAAGAAGUGAAUGUAUUUUUUUUAGGGGGUGGGGGGACAAACAGCUCUGCCUGCUGAGCUGAAACGAACAUUCCUGACAAGAUUUGGUUGAGGAGAGGAUACCGUGCUGUCUCGUUGCUCUACUCAGGAUUCAGCUAUAAACAUAUGAAAUAACAUUUUGCAAAGAUGGAAAAGGCAGAAAGCAGAAACAAGCAUUUUUUUCUUCYCUUUUUCUUCCUCUCCCUACAAACUUUUCUUUCCUUUCCCACAGUUUUUUUUUUCUUUUUGUCUCCCCCAGCACCACCUCCUGUUGGAAAUUACCUUUAAGACAAAGCGGCUAUGUGUUGCGACAUGGCAUGCUUACUGUACCCCGUGCCUGUUGGGAUUUUCAGAGCACAACCUUCCAGGCAUGGCUGCACAGGAUGAUUACACAGCAGUGGAAAAUGAUGGAUAGUUAGGAUUCAGAAGCUAAACUGGAAGCACAGAAGAUAAAAAAAAAUACAUCAUUUUUUGUGUCAAAGCAAAAUCAGGCAAGGUGAUAUUCUGACAUUUCUAAAAAGACUUAACAGAAAGCAUCUGGGACUGAGCCAAUAACCAGAAAAUAAUGACAUCUGUGAUGAAAUUCCCAACCAUUUCUGAAUGAAAUAAUUACAUUUCAAGUCACAGACCAAGAAGUAGAGCCUCUGGUUCGAAUUUCCCUCACGUGACCUCGCGCCCUCCAAAACAACAGAAUACUUUCCAUGCAGUCCUGACACUCUGGGGAUUAGGGAAGGUAAUUCUACAAAGACCAGGCCCGGCGCUCUCCUCCUCAUCCUUCACUGACUGAUAUGUAGGGGAAGUGGGACCCUGACCUACUCCUGACUGGCGGAAAUUGCUCUGACCUCUCAGCGAUUUUGAGAGGAAGCCAGACCUGGCACAUAGGUGCACUGGCGCUAUGGCAACCUCUUCUGACCCCGAGGACCUUUGGCUGGCCUACCCCCUUUGGCCAUUUACACACACACACGCACGCAUGCACACCACGCACACCACGCACACACACACAGCUCCUGCUAGAUGGAUUGAGUUACCUCUUAGUGGCAAUGGCUGCCUCUGUUUUGCAUCCUCUCCUCUAUUUUCAUCCCGGGAGCCGAGCAGUGCCCCAGUCAUUAACACUAGCAGCCCGCCUGUAACGGCAGCUAAAAGGUCUGCAUUCAUGAGGGACAUCCUGGAAACCAGAUGUGCAUGUGUGGUGAGAAUAUGUGUGCACGCAAAGGCCCUGGAAUCAAACGUGUCCAGAAGCAAUGGAUCAAGCCCUGCGUGUAUGCGCCUGAGCCCCCAGGGUCUAAGCGGUGCACAGGUCACCAAAGGCAAAGUGAAGGUUGGUUGGGAAGGGGGUCACCCAUAUGCAGACCCAGUUAGCAAAAAAAAAAACAUUACUGUUUAAUAUGACAGGUAAUUAAUCUCAAAUAAAUAGAUAUUUGGGAGCCAGAUAUUUGUAAAUGGAUAACUAAUAUUUAAACACACAUAUUAUAUUUCGACUCUGGGGAUGUUUCUAAAUUAGACACUAUGAUAAGUCACUCUUGAAAACUUCACCAUCUAAAAAUUCCACUUAAAGGGUCUUUAAAGAAUUACAUGGGUUUAUUUUUCAGGACUGACAAAGCAUCACUGAGAUUUUCAUUUACUUCAAAACCCCAGCAAAUAAUACCCAAACAUUGACAUGGUCGUUAAAAUAGCAUAAAUAGCCUAUGUAUUAUAAAUAAAAUGGCCUGACGUUAACACCACUGACAGGCGAUGCUUGCCAUGGUACAACAGUGUUAUGCUGGCAAAAAUCUGCAUUGACUUGGUUGUUACUUUGACACUUGCCUCCUACCUAUACAUUCUUGAAGACCAAUUACACUUUGCACAUGGCAACAGCUUUACCCUACGGUAGCACCUCCAAUCGCAUCCACCCCUUCCCAGGUAAGACARCGCUGGGUUUUGGAACAUCUCAAAGAAUACAAGAAACAGCCUGAAGUUUCCACCCAGCUUCCAAAAUCCUACAAUACCAAACUGAUGUCAUCUGUGAAAAGACACCAAAUAUCCAUGAAAAACCUAUCCAGCAACUCAGAGGAGUUUCAAAGAACGUUGCUUUUUUCAUACAAUGCUGCAUUAAUAUGUCUUGGACACAAAGCCACAAACUUUAAGGUGUUUUCAGGGAGUUUUUUCAUGACAGAGGGACACAUAGUAGUUCAUAGUUGUGUUUCAAACCAAGAAUCUGAAACGUGUGAUAUGCAUUUGUACGUAGCCUUACUGUUUGCUAUAAAGUAAAACUGUUUUAUGUAGACACUGUUUUUACAUACACUUUUAGUUUAUGUAAAACUACCUACAGCUCAGUGUGAGUGGAUGGUGAGCAUAUGUGAUAAGGACAUUUCUUCUCAGAUUCUCAGUUGAAUUUAGGUUUGGACUUUGACCGACUUGUCUGACUCAUGAAAACACAUUUAUUUCAUUGUAGAACUGGCAUCUCUUUAAGCUGUGAUGCAACCUGAGAAGAUUCACAAACAGUUACUUUAUAGUACUAGUUUGGGCACUGGUGCUGCUGUGGUACUCAAGACUGGUCUUAAGUAUUGUUUCUCUAUAAAAUCAUAAUUACAACCAGCUAUUGAAACUAAGUCUGAAAUUCCAAGCUGCAUUGAA